AUAUGGCCUGCGGGCCGUGUCAUUGAUGGGCUUCGUGCGUGUGUGUGUAGUAUGUGUGUGUGUGUUGGGCUGUGCGUGUGUGUGUGGUGUAUGUGUGUGUGUCCAUGCGUGUGUGUGUGGUGUGUGAGUGUGUGGUGCACGUGUGUGUGUGUAGUGUUGUGCAUGCGUGUGUGUAUGUGUGCUAACGUGUGUGUGAAUAUUGUAUGGGUUUGGGCUCAAGCCCAAACCACCACCAUUUUUAUUCCUAAGCCCUAAUCCAGAUCCAAGUUCAAACCCGCUGACCUAGUCUGACCCAAUUGACUGACCAGUUGUCUUUGACUUUCAGUUUUCAUCCGAGACCCCCUAGGCUAAUUUCGACGUCCUAAAUCCGUUUUCAAUGUCCAUUUUCCCAAAUUAAAUCAUUUGAGUAGAGUUCGACUAAAUGUACUAUUUAUGUGCUUAGGGGCAAUUAUUGUGACGUUUCCAUCUUCGCUAGCAACGCAGUUUCUGGCGGCUAAGUACUGUGUGUGGACCCCUUCUAAAAUUACAUGAUUUUAUAGUUUAUUUGCAUAAAUGAAACGCAUGCCUUACGAGUUUAUGAACUAAUUUUAUGUUAAGCAUGUUUAUUGAAAUGUUGAUUAUCGUCUCAUCAUCAUUUUUUAGUGAGGAAAUAAUUGUUCGCCUUUGUUGAACUAUAUUUUGAUAUAUCAUAUUUUUAUAAAAACCAUGAACUGGUAGACUAUCUGAUGGGUGACGAUAGGAUGCUAGAACAUGUUUUAGAAACCCCUCUUUAUAGUAUAGAUGAUGCAUGACUUUAUACUAUGAAGUGGUUAUUUUGAGAGGCGUAACUAUUUGUGCGUACUUAGUGGACACUAUGCCACCUAGGGCGAGGAUCUGGUGUUGACAGUUAGGCCGGGAGAAAUAAUCCCUAGCGAAAGGCUGAGGGACACGGAGACAGGCGUUGGGUCAGGAUGGAGUUAUCUCUGGCUACGGGCACAGAGACUUAUAUUGGAAAUGUGCCCUAAAACCAAUCAUAUGAUGAUACUUUACGGACAUUUCACAUGGUAAACUAAUCUAGUUUAAUAUCAAGGGCAUAGAUUAUUCUUUUAAGCCGUCUCAUAUAAAUGUUAUAUGCUUAAACGAUAAGUCCAAGGAAUGUGUAAUUAGGAGAAUGUAAUUUAAACAAGUUAGAUUUAUGAGACCAUUCUCUUUCGUAUACAUAUCCUAAACGUUCCUGAUCAUAGGAUUGCCAAUUGGGCAUUAACAGUCCGUUAGGAUCAGUAUGUGCUAUGUCUUUUCUUAGUGAGAGUGACUGGUCUCGAGUCAUUGGUGUGAUUGACACCAAGAUAAGCAUGUAGGUGCUUAAUAACGAAUGAGUCCACUGAACACGAUCAACGAGGAGUUCUCAUACUCAUGUCACAUGAGAACUCAUGGUUGGGAUAAUGUAAAGUAGUCCUUUGACCUGAGGCAUCAUAGUUGUCUUGUGGUUAAGUCCUUGAUCUUUGACUAUGUCAAAGUCACUCAAUUCGAGGGUGUCCACGGCAUAGUUGGGGUUAAGCCACUUAGCCAUGGAGGUAAGUGAAUGCGCAACAAGGGAUCUCUAACCUUCAAACCGUUUGAGGGAGAAUACUCAAUGAUAUGAUUGAGAAUCUCUGGCCAGAGUAUGAAUGAGAUUUAGGAAGUCAUUCCAAAUCACAUUCAAGGUAAUCAUAUAAGUAAAUGAAUCACAUUGGAUAAUAGACAUGAAUAAACUAUCAAACCAAACAAUGUGGUCAAGAGUAUUGUAUUAGAGAAAGACCGUAUUGCAUUGUAAUCUUAAACUGAAUAGGUUCUCCACCUCUUCUGAUUAGCUUGGGUAACCAUCACAUACUGCUAGGUGUCACUCAUGGUUUGUGGAAGCCCUAAACGUGUAUAAUCACUAAAGGGAGAAUUGAAAGUAAGUUUCAAUUCAUAAUCGAUUUGAAAGAGUUCUAAUCGCCUACUGCCUCGCUAAAAGGAACCUAAUGGAUCGUACACCGUGUAAGGUAGAGAUUGAAGAAACCACGGAAAUGAGUAAGGAUAAUUAAAUGGUUUAAUUAUUUAUUUAUGGAAAGGAUUAAUUAAUAUGUUAAUUAAUCAAACGAAUAAACUUCGUUAAAAGACCACGGGUUAGUUUUGGGCCUCAAGGCCCAAUGGGCUUCGAACGUCAAGCCCAUUGACUUAAGUUGUAUGACAACUUAAUGACAAAUAAUUCAUAAAGGCCUAAAAGCCCAAUGAAGCCCUAUGGCCGGCCAUUUAGAGGAAGGGUAGUGAACUUGCUUUAAUUACAAGUUUGCCACUCCAAUGAAUAAAGGUAUAAAUAUGACUUUAUAGUCAAAAUUCAUUUAGGGUUUUUUGAGGAAAUUGGAGAGAACACAAAGCUCUCGUUUCUCUCUAAAGAGGCUGGCCACCCUUGAAGGGAAAACCAUGAGAUUUCAUGUGGGAUUUCUAGUGACUAGCAUGGAUAGACAAUUCAAAAUUUAUAUACGAAAGCAACGGAAGCAUGUUAUCAAAUAAUAUCAAAGCAAUAGUCAUGCAAAUCCCCUUCAAGAUGCAUAGGUUUAUGUAAGAUGCAUCAAAAACAAAUUUAUAUAUAAGAACAAAGUUUAGGAGUAGUUUUAUACCUUAUGAUCUAGAUCUUAGACCAAUGAUGGACCACCUCCAAGCCCUUUGUUCCUUGAACUCCUUGAGCCUAGCCUCCUUCCUUGCCUCCUCCACUUUGUUUAGAAUGAGUGCUCCUAGGUUCUCUUCAAGUUUCCAAAAUUGAAAACCUCUAAAGAUCCUCACCCACUAGUGUAGUGAGAAGGAUGAAGGAAUAACCAAAUGGGUGAAAAGAUGAUUAGCUAAAUCCCCCUAUGGUGGCCGGCCCUUUGAGUGUUAGAGAGAUAUUUUUCCUUUUUCUCUUUUGUUCUUUUAACACUUCAAAAAACCCUAAUGAAACAUUUGCUAUAAAGUUCCUUUUAUAGCCAAAAAGAAACAAGUCAACAUUUGACCUUUCUCUCCCUCCUUUGGCCGGCCGCUUUGUGUUGUUUGGGCUUUGGGCUUUUAUUUAUUUCAAGUCAUCCAAUGCUUGAAUAAAAGCCCAAUGGGUUUAGGCCCAAUGGGCCCAAUUAAAUCCGAACGUUUCUUUAAGCCCAAAACGAUCUAAUAUCGCUUUUAUGAUUUCUUUAGACUUUCUAAUUAAUCACAACACUUAAUUAAUCCAAUUAAUUAUUUCCAUCAUCCAUUAAUUACUCACUACAAGAGUGUAUUGGUGAACAAUCGUUUUAGGUUAAUUAGCAAGGCAGUGAGGUGAUUGGCACCAAUCCAAUUGAUUAUAUUUAAUCCAAUCACUUAGUGAAUUAAAACUUACUUUUAAUUCACCUUCUUCUUUGACGACUACAUUUAAUCAUCUAGAAGAACUCACAAGCCAUGAGUGACAUCUAACCAUAUAUCAUGGCUACCCAAGCUAAUGUAAAAGUUGUUCGGAGAACCUAUUCAGUUGGAAUUACAAUGUAAUUCGAUCCUUCUCUAAAACAAUACUCUCAAUCACAUCACUAGGGUAUGGAUAUAUUAUGUCAAACCCCUAAUGUGAUUAUUCCUUCUUAUAUGAUUCAAUUGAGUCGUAUAGGAACGCUUUCCUUUAUUACGCUCGAUACUUCGACCGAAGAUUCCAGAAUCAUAUCUUAGAGUAUUCAUCCUCUCUUAACGAGGAUUGGAGAUUCCUUGUUGCGCAUUCACUUGCCUUCAUGACUAAGUGGCUUAACCCCGACUAUGCCGUGGACACCCGCGGAUGGAGUGACUUUGACAUAAUCAAAGAUCAAGUACUUAACCAUAAGACAACGAUGAUGCCUCAGGUCAAAUUACUACUUACAUUAUUCCAACCAUUAGAGUUACUUGCUUGACAUGUGAGUAGAGCUCCAUGCAAGUACUCUUGUUCGAUUGUGUUCAGUGAACUCAUUCCCUUAAUGAGCACCUACAUACUUGUCUUAGUGUCACUAAUGGGAUGAGACCUUCCAUCCUUCUAAUUGAAGCGGACAUAGUAUGUACCGGUCUAUGUAUUGUCAGUAUCCCUCCGACAAUCCUAUGACCAGGAACCUUUUGGACAUGAUGGUUAUGUGAAGAAGGUCUCUGUAGUCUAACUUCAUUAGAUUACUUCUUCAAUCGAUCCAGUGUCCAUGGAUUCACUAUUUAGGACAUAUAUCGUUUAUAGAGAUAGUCCUAAAUAGUAUCUUUGCCAUUUGAUGUAUAAGAAUCAUCUAUACAUCCAUUUAUUGUCCUGAAAGGUUUCUUCCAAAGAUUGACUUUCAGGGCAUAUUUCCAACAACACUUGGAGGGAUUAGCUAGUAAUCUUUCUCCUCCAAGGUCACUCAUCUCUUAUUCACAUCUUACCUUGGUGUGGAGACUUAGAGGUUCUCAAUUUUGGGAACUUGGAGAAACCUAUUCUUCCAUCCAAAUCCAUGGAUCUAAGAAGCAAGGAAUGAAGGCCCUAUCUAUUGGGUGAUUAUCCUUUGCUUAUGCAAAGAGGAAUCAACAAAGGUAUAAUUUCUCAACUCACUUUGUUUUGAGUUGAGUCUUGGUUCACCAAACUACUAGGCUUUGAAUUUAAUGGGUAAUGUUUUGUUUUGAGUGCAUGCAAGCAUGAUUCCCCCUUUAAUUUGUUAAUUGCAUGCUAUAGAUGUUGCUCAAAUGAACAUGUUUUCACAAAAUUUUCCUUCAAGUGGUAUCAAAGCCUAGGUCUAGUAGUUGGUGAAUCCUUUUGGGUUUUGUAGUUCAUAGUAUUUGAUUUAAAUGUUGUAAUAUGUUACAAGCUUUAUUCUUGUUUCUUUGAAUGUAAAUUUUGUUGGAAAAUUUGCCAUCUCAAAUGUUGUAGAUGUAGUUCAUAUGAGCAUGAAUAUUGGAGCUAAAAUUUGGUGCCAUGUUUUUGGGAAAAUUCGGCCAAAUCCAAAGGGUGGAUUUUUGGGUUCAUGUUUGACUUGUUAAAAGUGUUUUCAAGUAACUUUUUGAGUUUUUCAUGAAUGUUCUUCAUUGUUCUUGAUAUUUUAGCCAAGAACAAAAAGUUUGGUGUUUUGAUUCAAAGUUUUGAUUUAUUUCAUAAAGUUUUUGUUUUGUGCUUUUCAAAUGUUUAAAUGUGUUAGAUAUUUAUUUAGAAAGGUGAUAGAAAUAUUGAUGGGUGUGUAAGGAUUAAUUCCCUUUCACACACCACUUGCAUGACUUUUGUGUCAUGCACCUCUUACAUGACUUUAUGUCAAAACUACAAAUCAACACACACAUCACUCCCUUUAAUAUCUAAAACCGGCCACCCUAUUAAAAUAGGGUACUUUUGUGUAUUUGCACUUUGGCCCAAAAGUUUACAUUUUUACAUAAAGGCCCAAAAUCAUUAAAGGACAAAUUGUUUUGUUCCUUUAAUGAAGUUUUUGAAUUUGUUGAAAUUUUUGGGUUCUAGUUGUAAUUACAUGAAGUAGUGAACUUUUGUGUUUUUACAAAGUGAGCUCAAAAGUUUAAGUUUUGCAACAUAGCCCAAAAGUUGAGGUUAUUGCAUUUUGGCCCAAAUUAGGUUGAGAACAAAAUGGUUUUGUCUCUUAAAAUGAGAAUUGGAUUUUCAUUUCAUUUAGCUCCAUUUAAAUCAAUUCUAUGGAAACAAAAACCAAAUGAAAAAAAAUUGUUGCAUUCAAGUUUAAUUAGUUAAAGCGUUAAUUAAUUAAAGGGUGAUUAUGAACCUAAGCCUACGAUAAUUGAGCUAUGUGAAAGGCCGUUUCAAAUUUGUUUGAACCAUGGGAAUGUGUAGAUUAGAUUUUGGUUGUAAUUUGAUUUGAUCAAAUGUUGUAAAAGAGCAUAAGCUCUUCUUUACUUUAAAGUAAUUUGUAUUAUUCAAAUGUUGUAAAGAGCAUAAGCUCAUCUUUACUUUGAAGUACUCAUUUCUUGUUUUAUUUGAUAUGCAUGAAAAUUGGUAGCGGGUCCAACGCCCAAUAAGACAACACGCCUUAAUGUGAUUAAACGCGUAACUAAAAUCAAUCACCAUCCCUAGACCGAGAUUCAACACUAGGCUCGUGUUGGAUCUAAUCAAAGGUUCAUAAUCAUCUUAAGGCCCUAAGACAACUAUAUAGUCCAUCAAUGAAUGCAAACCUUAUGUUAGUAGUACCAUAUACUCUUGCUUUAAAAACCAUUUUACAAGCUUAGUGGGAGUAUUAUAUACUACUAAAUCAAUCACAUGGACCAAUAGUUGUAAUAGAACCAAAUUGUUUUAAUAAGAUUAAAAUGAAUGUUUAUAUAUGAUGAGACCUAAAACCCUCAACCAAACCAUUAUUAAGUUGAUAAGCGUGAGAGUGCUUUUGAACACUCUUUCGUGGCCUUCCACUGUGGUAGGCUCCAAUCGUUUGUGACUCGUACACCUACUUCACCCUAUUAUGGGGGAGUACAAAGUGCGUGCUUACACUCAGGAUGGAUCCUGUAUGCAUACAGGAUGUAUCCUAUAUGUAUACAGGAUGUUGUGAAGGUAGGCAACGAGAAUGAUCAACAUCAUAUCAUUGUCAGGUUGUUCUUGAACCCCUACCCGAACUUGCAUGGUGGGAAUGACUUAACUAAGUGCAAUGGAGCCAACAUCAUAUCAUUGUGAGGCUUCAUUCUCUAGAGGCCAAAUAAGAUGGGUACUUGCAAGAGAUGCAAAUGAGUAAGUGUACUCUCUCAUUAUUAUUUAUGCUAGCCAACAUCAUAUCAUUGUGAGGUGGGCUUGGUAAUGAUGAGUCUCCCAUACUCUACUAAGAGUUUCCUCCAAAACUCUCGAAUUCCGAUGAGGGAUAUGGAAUUUGCCAAAAAUAGUGGGUGGUGCUAUUUGAUUUAAAGACCCGAAUCAAAUGGCUUAAAAUCAAUCAAUUUAUAUUCGUUAUAUAUUUGUUUACCAAUAUAUUUGCAAACGCUAUCCAAAACUUGACUAAGAAAAGCCGAAUGCUUAAGUUUCCGGACUUGGUACCACAAUCCCAAAGAUUGUCUUAAAUGGAUUGUAUAUGUACCUAAGUAGUCUAAUCCUCACAAUCUUCCUAUUGAUAAUGUAUCAUUGGAAGAACAUGUUAGAUAAGUCUAUCAUAAAGAGGACAACACUUUUAAUGUCAUAGUUCUUCACUUACAAAUCGUUGUAUGAAGAAAUAAGAGUUGCUUUGAACAACCCUUAGCUAAUGCAAACACUAGUGCUUGUUUCUUUGUUAAUUGAACAAAGAACUUGAGAAGAAAGCACAAGGGCAUGGACACUUUAUGUGCCAUGAUUCUUCACUUAUAAAUUGUUGUAUGAAGAAAUGAGAGUUGCCUUGAACAACUCUUGAAAGUUUGUAAUUAUGUUUAGAACAUAAUGGUUGGUUGACAAAAAUAGUCCAUCAACAUGGACUUAUGAUGAUUUUGAAUCAUUGAGUGUUGAAGUGUUAAACCACUUUUAGAAACGGAAACUAGGCAAGGACUUCACCUUUGUGUCCCUAUCCAAAUGGUUCACUAAGUUUAUUGUAAACUAUAUAGUGAACAAUAACCACAGACUCUCCAAAUCGUUUGAUGUGUAUAACACAGUUGAAAUAAGUUUCAAGAGAGAUAGUGGGAGUUUAGGGACCAUGACUAUUGUAGUCAAAAGGAGAAGUCAAAUGAAGAAAGCGAAAUAAACUCCAAGGGAACAAACUUUCUUUAUGAAAGGAUGGACAUUGGAAGGGGUAUUUGCAAGAAAUGUCUUGCAAGUGUCAAGAACACACCUUUCGAAGGUGUUGUAAAUUGUUCUUGAAAAGUUCAAAACAGUUGGUUCUUCUACUUGAAUGCUUGAUUCCGUAUUAGUAACUAUGUUUUACAAACGUUGUAAAAGUGUGGCUAAUAAAAGGUAAAAGAUUAAUGAGAGAAGAGAAAGUACUUCACAUUCGGAACGUGAAUCAAAUGUAGAUCUCUGCGAAAGCAGAUGGUACUUACUUCCUCAUAUGAACUACCAAAGAAAUUGGAAAAACCAAAGAUUGUCUUUACAUUCCAAUUUUAAGGAACUUAAUUCCAUCACUAUAAGGGAUGGAUGAAUGUUUUGUUUAACAAAACAUUGUUCUUUAUUAAUGAAUGAUAGAUUAUUGUAAUCUAAUUGAUUGUCUCUAUAGUAGAGAUGAUAUGGUAGUGUUAACUGUUUAGAAUAUAACGAUGCUUAAAACCCAAAAGGUUGCAAGGUAGUGACUAAUCCCAACUGAGUUGUGAUACCUCUAAAACAUAAAUUAUGAGUUGGUCAUAGAUGGAUGCUUUGGAUCGUUAGAUCCGGAUCCAAUACCUUCUUAUUAAAAUUGUAUGGAGGCGAAAUGUUCGAAUCUUUAUUCUUUUGGAAAGAAGAAAGAAUCACAAAGUUGUUGAGGUUAAUUCACUUAGAUGUUAGUGGCACUUGUCCACAACAUAAUACUACUCAUGUUGUAUGACAUUCACCGAAGAUCACUCUCGGUUGGACUAUAGUUUAUUUUGAAUAAACACAAGUCCGAAUAAUUUGCAAAAGGUUUCAAAGAAUUCAAGAAAUAUAAGUUGAUGAGUAAGACGUCUAAUGUAUUUACCUCCUUAGAUUUGAUCCAAGGAAAGGUAACACUUUAGAAUAGUUUCCUUGAAAGAUAUCAAGGAAAGAAGCAUCAUAUGAUAAUGCAUUUCUCCAUUAGGAGAAGAACGAACUUGAAUAAGAUUUAGUUCGUUGGAUGUUAUCAAUUACCCAUAUAUAGGAUAUAUGCUUCUAAGACAAUAUGAUUGUCAAUUAGAAGAUCUUCCAAAAUUUUCAUGACUCCAUAAGAUGUAGUUGGAAAGAAAGACAAAUCUUAAUCAUGUUAAGAUUUGGGGUUGUGUGCUAAUAAGCAAUAUUUGUUUGAGAAUUAUCUUGUGGAUAUCCUUAAAUUAACCUUUGGAUAUCACUUCUAUAAACCAACUAACAAAUGUUGUUUUUUAGGUAGUUCAUUGUAAUCCUACACUAGGAUUUGCCUAAGAUAGAGCAAAUGAACGAGGGAUAGAACUCAAAGAAUGGGUUCUUUGAGAAACAAGAUAGUGAUCAACAAAUAUAACAACCUAGUUCCUAUACCACAAGCUCCAAGGUAGUCGAGAAGGAUUUAUAAACCGUCUCAGUUGAAUGGUUUGAACUUUAUGACUAUGUCAUAGAGUUGCACCUCUUAAUUCGAAAGAAAUAAGAAUGAAAAUCCUUAUGACUACAUUGAGUGUAUAUACAAUAUAUACUCAAGGAAAUGGUAAAGUACCAUUUGAUCCGAAAUAAUGAAACCUCCAUAGCUAAUUGGUAGCUUAAGGUGACUACAAUUAAAGAGAUUGGUUGACUUGGAAGAAACCAUCUUUGACGUAGUCUUGGUUUCAAUUAAUUCGAAGAUUGCUAGCUAUAACUAAAUGGUGAUUCAAUGUUUGGACAUAAUAUGGGUUUCCGAAACCAUUAUUAAGAUAGUCUUGAUAAUAUAUGUCUAAAACUAUGAAUCACAAGACAUGUAAGUUGUAGAGAUCCAACCAUCAUGGAUCUUAGCAAGCUAGUGGGAGUUAUAAGCGUCUUAUGAGAGAAAGAUCAAAUCAAUUGAUUUCUCAUAAAGAUGUAAAUUAAUCUUUUGUUUACUAAGUUUACAAAAGAUUAGUGGGAGUUAAUCAUAUUCCUAAAAUUGAAUAUAUAUGAUGUAUUAAUUUUGGAAAUGAAAAGAAUACUUCUUCGUUAAAGUUAUGACUUUAAACAUUCUAUAACGAUAGAAUGUAUAUGGGAGAUAUAGUCUAAAUACAUGGGAUAGAAAUCUAUAAUGAUAUAUUUCAAGAUAUAAUUGGAUUAUAUCAAUCCCUAAUAAUAGACAAAAGAUGCUAGGAAGUUUCUCAUAUGAUGAUAAACUUCAAUUAGAAUGACGACUCUAGUGAGACUAGCAAGUUGCCCUUCUCAAAGGGAACGUACCCUUUGACUCCCAAAGAAAUAAUGCGUAAAUAGAAUCCUUUAUGCAUACGCAGAAAGGUGAUUUAUGUAUUUCAUAUUGUAUGAAAAACAUUGAUAUGAGUUCUACCUAGAAAGGUACAAGACGAUAUCAGUGCAAGCCCAGGAUCAGAACCAUGGCAACUGUCAAGUGAGUCCUUGAGUAUUUAAGAAAUACUAAAGGAUAGAUUCCUCAAAGAAUGAGGAAGAAUUAGAGUAACGUAAUGGAAGCGUAAAUGUAUUAGAUUAUGAAUCUAAUCCAUCAUUGGAUGUUUCUUCAUUAUGAAUGAAGAGAUAAUCAAAUAUCUCUUUAUUAUAACUAAAAGAGAUAUUUGGAUGGAAACAUUAAAAGUAAUGACUUUAGUGUGUUCCAUUGUGAAUGCAAAAUAUAUUGCCAUAUAGAAGCUUACAACAAUGUUGUUUGGAUGGGAAAGUUCAUUUAUGAACUCUCUAUUCGGUUCCAACCAGAAAGUGUCUCUAGUGUACUUACACUACGACACUAAUGGGGAGAUAGCUCAAGCCAGGGAAUCAAGGUCUCAUCACGAUCCGAACUCAAAUGAGAGACUGAACCACAUGAUUGAGAAUCAUGUAUAAUGGUGACGUCGUUAUUCUCAAGGUUGCUUCUAUGGAUAACAUAUAGAUAUCCAUUGUCUAGGCCUACUACUCAACCAUUUUUGAAAUGACUACAGAAGAGGUAUCAUCACUGAUGACCAAGCUGAUUGGCUCUAGUGCAAGUGGGAGAUUGUUGGAAAUGUGCCCUAAAACCAAUCAUAUGAUGAUACUUUACGGACAUUUCACAUGUUAAACUAAUCUAGUUUAAAAUCAAGGGCAUAGAUUAUUGUUUUAAGCCGUCUCAUAUAAAUGUUAUAUGCUUAAACGAUAAGUCCAAGGAAUAUGUAAUUAGGAGAAUGUAAUUUAAACAAGUUAGAUUUAUGAGACCAUUCUCUUUCGUAUACAUAUCCUAAACGUUCCUGAUCAUAGGAUUGCCAAUUGGGCAUUAACAGUCCGUUAAGAUCAGUAUAUGCUAUGUCUUCUCUUAGUGAGAGUGACUGGUCUCGAGUCAUUGGUGUGAUUGACACCAAGAUAAGCAUGUAGGUGCUCAAUAACGAAUGAGUCCACUGAACACGAUCAACGAGGAGUUCUCAUACUCAUGUCACAUGAGAACUCAUGGUUGGGAUAAUGCAAAGUAGUCAUUUGACCUGAGACAUCAUAGUUGUCUUGUGGUUAAGUCCUUGAUCUUUGACUAUGUCAAAGUCACUCCAUUCGAGGGUGUCCACGGCAUAGUUGGGGUUAAGCCACUUAGCCAUGCAGGCAAGUGAAUACGCAACAAAGGAUCUCUAACCUUCAAACCGUUUGAGGGAGAAUACUCAAUGAUAUGAUUAAGAAUCUCUAGCCAGAGUAUGAAUGAGAUUUAGGAAGUCAUUCCAAAUCACAUUCAAGGUAAUUAUAUAAGUAAAGGAAUCACAUUGGAUAAUAGACAUGAAUAAACUAUCAAACCAAACAAUGUGGUCAAGACUAUUGUAUUAGAGAAAGACCGUAUUGCAUUGUAAUCCUAAACUGAAUGGGUUAUCCACCUCUUCUUAUUAGCUUGGGUAACCAUGACAUACUG
rnacentral:lncRNA from 1 species